rnacentral:rRNA from 1 species
AACGAACGCUGGCGGCAUGCCUAACACAUGCAAGUCGAACGAGACCUUCGGGUCUAGUGGCGCACGGGUGCGUAACGCGUGGGAACCUGCCCUUAGGUUCGGAAUAACUCCCCGAAAGGGGUGCUAAUACCGGAUAAUGUCUUCGGACCAAAGAUUUAUCGCCUUUGGAUGGGCCCGCGUUGGAUUAGCUAGUUGGUAGGGUAAAAGCCUACCAAGGCGACGAUCCAUAGCUGGGCUGAGAGGAUGAUCAGCCACACUGGGACUGAGACACGGCCCAGACUCCUACGGGAGGCAGCAGUGGGGAAUAUUGGACGAUGGGCGAAAGCCUGAUCCAGCAAUGCCGCGUGAGUGAUGAAGGCCUUAGGGUUGUAAAGCUCUUUUACCCGGGAUGAUAAUGACAGUACCGGGAGAAUAAGCGCCGGCUAACUCCGUG